rnacentral:rRNA from 1 species
AUUAAAUGAGAGUUUGAUCCUGGCUCAGGACGAACGC